GUCCUGUUGAAAGCUUCCUGGGUCAGGUUGGGAUUGGGUUGAGUGUAGGUGCCUGAGGGUGAUUUCUGGGAUCUACUUUUUGUAGAUAAGAGGUUUUAGAGCUGGAAGGGAUUUUAGAGACCUCUUUAAUGAGGAUGUUGAGGACAACAAAGGAAAAAUAAAUUACCUAAAACCACACAGCUAAUGAGACCGGAAGCGGGGACAGGGGUCUUCUGACUCCUAAGAUGGCUGUCCACCAGGCCCCCUUCACGGUGCUGUUCCUUGGCUUUCGUGGCGACAGAAUCGGGUAAAGGGUGGAAAAAGGAGCCAACUUUUCUGGAGACUCAGGACCCAUUUGGCAGAGAAGCACAUAGAAAAGCCAGAGAAUGCAGCCUGGAGAGAUGGAAGAUGCCAGUCAGGUCUCACUAGUGUCUAGGAAUGGAAGGUUUUCUCAGCAUCCAAUACCGACUGGAAGAAGCUCCUGCCAGCCAUGUAAGAAGGACAAUGUCAGGCUCUAAUCAGGGAGAGCCUUGGAGAGCUGAGGAGAUUCCCCAAUUUCUUCCUGCUCAUCAUUUUCAGUCCCUGACGUCCAUUUCCACAGAGGAAUUAGCAGGUGAGAAGCCGAGUCAGUGGGAGGCAGCACUCCGGAACUGAAGGACUCCAUCCUCAAGGGCUGACCAUCCCAUCUUGUGGACCCCUUCAUCUCCAGACGAUGCUGCCCAGGACCUGAGGGUUCUUAGACUGCCCUCUCCUUCUGUGCUUUUUCUCUAGUCGUGCUCCAGGUUAGUGCCACAGUCUGUAAGAAGCAAGUGGAAUCAGAGAAUAUCAGCAGCACAAGGGGCUUCAGAGACUGCCUCAUCCCACUUUCUAAUUUGACAUUUGGAUAAAACGAAGUCCAUGGCAGAGAGAUGACAAGUCUCAGGGCACAUCACUAAUUAGUGACUAGCUUUAGGUCCUGAGCCUAGGCUGGCAAGUUUGGCAUAGUAAUAGAUAAUAGCAAGAGUGUACACACACACACACACACACACACACACAGACACACAAACUCUUGUUUAGUUCACUAUGUGCAUGGUGCUGUUGUAAAAUAUGUAUAGGGUUGUGUGCAUAUUAUCUUUCCCAUUUUAUGCAUAAGGAGUACAAAGCUCAGAGAUGUUAAGUGACUUGCCCAAAGUCACAGCUGGUGACUGGCAGAACCAGAACGUGAACUCAGGCAGUCUGGCUCUGCUCUUGACCCCUGCACAGUCCUGACAUACUAGCGUGCGGUCUUUACUCACUUAUGGUCCAGAGGAAGGAUCUCUAAUAAAUUCCUUGGCCAGAGGAUUCCUGGCUUGAUA
rnacentral:lncRNA from 1 species